AUUUUAGCAAACAAUAGAUUACAUACUGAAACAAGGUGUUCUUUAAGGGCAUUAAUGUUCCUUUAUUUCAGAGAGGGCUAGGGUUCAUGGUCUAGAAACUAUUUGAAAAUAAUACAGCAAGAAGGGCUGCACUGUUCUGCAUUUCCAAUGGUGAGAUCCUCGCCCUGGAGUGUGAAUCCUGCCUGAUGCUGAGGCAGGAUGGCCUGUGCUGUGCCACUGGAACAGAAGUGCUGAAAUGCUGACAGCACUGUCCAUCUGCUGCCAACACAGCAUUAGCCAUUAGUGCUAAAGCUGAUGGACAACAGGCAGUGGAGAGGAUCUGCAGUCAACUUUGGGGGUUUGUCAUUUCUUUUUUCAAAAUACAUAUAUAUAUUGUUUCUUGUAAGAGUGUUGGUGUAACUGAAACCACAAGUCUGAUUAGCAAUGCUGUCAUGUUUUUUUUACUGCUGAGACUUGACAGGCAUAUGUACACUGACUAGUGGGAAUAUUUAACAUGCAGCAAAAAAAUUGGGCCAGGAAAUGUGUUUGGGGUUGUGUUUAUUUGAAUAAAAAAUACACAUCACAGACUGAGCUCUCCUCACCAAAGGAGGGGAAAAACCUCCACACACAGGAGGAUCUGAACUAUGGUCUUCAUAUCUGGGUAGUUUUGCCGUUUCUUCCUCACCUUCUGCCUGAAGCAUGAUGAAAACACUCUAAUGACUCUAAUAGGAACUAAAAUGACACAGUUUUUAGCAGCCAGUGAGAGCUGACUCUCCUGUUUUCUGAAGUACCAGAAGUGACCAAAUGUAAUGGUAAAGCAAAUGCUUGUCAAUAAGAGAUAAAAAUGUAACAAACACACACACUGAGUUCAGAAAAGGAGUUUCGUGCCCGAGUGAAAAGGUUUUACGAUGGUGCACUCCUCUAGCUUCAAGGAAUUGUAUGGUUUUGAUAUGUGUGUUCCCACCUCGGAUUGGUAGGGAUUGGUAGGGACCAGUAGGUGAUGGUGAUGCAAUUUGUGAUUGUCAUAUUUGUAUUGUUUUUAAAGCUUUUAAAGUGUGUGAGGGAAUGAGCACAGAAGAUGGCCAGGCUGGUGUGCACAGUUUCACAGCUGAGCAUGUUAUGGAAUGGUGUAUUUUCUUAGCUUUGAAUCUGCCACCUGCUAAUGACACUUGAGGACCCCGUGUGCUUUCCCAGAGGAGACAGUUCUCAGUCCCUGGGCCAGCAGGGACAGGGAAAAUGUGCAUCAGUGACUGCAGAAAAACCCCAAAGGAGUAUGGGCACUAUGCAACAAGCAUUUAAGCUUCUGGGAAUCUCUCUGAAAGAGUUUUAAAGGAAUAAGGAACUUGCUGUCAGGUAUUUUUUCUGACUGUUGUGUGUGCACCCCCCAGUCCCCAUCUAAGAGUUAAACUUCAACACGAAUAUUUUACCACUGGAAUUGGUAACAGAGUUUUCAUGGGCAAACAGACAACAAGCACAAACAACGGUGCUCUUACCUGAAAGAAAAAUGAUCAGUAGGCCUGCGUGCUCUUUUCUUUAAUUUCCGUUAAUCAAUUAAUAGCCUGAGGCAUGAGGUUUUUCAUUGAAUAUUAGUGACUUUUGUCUUCUGAAGGAACAGCGAAACAUUACAGAGCACAGCUCUGUAAUUCAGGAAUUACACCUAAAUUAAGAUAAGAAGAGGCACUAAUUAGAGAAGAGACAUGAGAGGAAGGCAAUAGUGCUUGAUGUGGAGAGCUGAGCAGAUAUUAGUUAUCUAGUUCCAUCCCCCCAGUGGCAGGGGGAUUACAAUUGGAUGAUCUUCAAGGUCCCUUCAAACCCAAACGAUUCUAUGAUUCUAUUACCUCCGUAACAGCUGUGGUGAGCAGCAUCCUUGGUUAGAAAGCAUCUUUUUUGAAACAAGGUACUAAAAUAGCCCACUACAAAUACUAAAUAGUCAGGAAUCUAUAGAGUUUUUCAGUAAGAUUGAGCAAGAGAUUUUCUUUUCAAGGCUGAUGGCAGAAUUCCAUUUUUCUUUUCUUCCUUCUUAAAAGGAUUGAUUUAAAUUGUUUUUCCAACCCCUUGUCUUCCAGUUGUGCUUCCAUUAGUGAUUAAUUUGGGCUUAUCUGUAUGCCAUCAGUUUUGUUUGCUACUGAUUUUUGCACCUGCUUAGAACUGCAGAUGUGGUCAGAAGAGUUCCAGAUGGAGUGCCAAGUUACAAAAGUAACAAAGUUAUCAAAAAUACCUGCAAAGUACACGUGUCCCCUUUACAACUGUUUCUGUGGCAUUUUCAGUGCGAGGCAAGUGAAGCUGAAGGGAGGAUAUGACAACCAACCAACCCCAAACAACUUUUUGUUUUAAAUCACCCCAAAAUGUACCCUUGAAGCAUGGCAGACUUCUAAAAAAUUCUGUGUAUUUAUGAGUCAUCUUAGCAUUGUUUGCUUUUCUUUUUGGCUUCAGGAUCCAUGAAAAAUUGGCAGAGUCCAGUGCUGGUGAGUAUCUCUGCAACCCUCAACAGCAAGUGAAUGGGCAAAAAAGCGGGACUAAAUUAGACAAAGAGCCAUUUGAAGUAGAUGCAGCAUUUCCAACUUACUGGCUGUAUCAUCAACAGCUCCUGUGUGCCAGCUGAGUUAGAAGAUCUGGCAAAUCCAGGAUAUAUUGCAGGAUCUGCCUCUAGUUCUGUUCCAAUGUCAGCUCAUAUUUCUGCCUAAACUGAAGUUAAUUUACAGCUCAGGGAACUGGCUACAUUCCACCAACCAGCCCUGUUCCUCAGUUGUAGGUGAAGAGUUCAACUGCAGUUGAAAUUCCUCCAUUGUUUCCAGCAGAUGAUUCAAAUAAUGAGUGUGGGACGUUCUGCCAGUUGCUAAUUCUGAACUUCCAGUAAAUAAUUCUUAUAUUGUAUGCAUAUAAAGAUAAUAUGUCUCUUGUGGGCGGUGCCAGGUGUGACAGUUGGUAGUAUUACACUCUGCUAUGGUGAUAAAGCUGUGUGUGUCUCAGGGAGUAACUAGAUUAUAUUUAACUGUGUUCCCUUGUAGCUUGUCACUGGUUUCCAGUGUGCUGUUGAGUAGCAUCAGUGUGAAAGUAUCACGAGAGAGAACUUCCUUCCAAAGGAAUCAAAUCCUGUUCUGGAUCUCAAUGAGUGUUUGAACUAGACCCUGCCCCUAAGUUAUGUACAGCACGUUGCCUGUUGCCUUCUGUGUUCUCCAUGUACAUCCCUGAAUAUUCUCCCUCAGCCAGAUAUGAGUGUUUUCUGUGUGCACAAACCCCUGUCUGUCCAAAUCUCUGCCCUGCUGAGGCACAGGACUCAGGCUUGCUUUCAGUGUGGAGUUUAUAGGUUAGUUCUACUUGAAACAAAUGAAAAAGGAAAUUGUUGUUUUUCAAGAAAAAAACCCAAAUAAACCCUGACCAAAAUAAUCACCCAGAGCAGUACUGCUGGUUAGAAAGGAAGAACAACUUUGUGUCAAAACUUUUCUCAAACUUUACAGGUCCUGGGUGGAUUUAUUUGCUUUGUGCAACACUGUUUUCCAAUCAAAUCACAAAGUAAUCUGACUAACUUUAUCUUUUAAGUUAAAAACUAUUGUUUGCUGUAUACACGUUGUUCAGGCAACACCAGGUGUCUUUUCUCUCACAGAUUUCCAAUUCAUUUUAUGAAGCGAGUAGACAAAGUUAAUUAGUUUUUGCCACCUUGCAGAAUCAUAAAUUACUACGGAACAAGUUUUAUGCUUUUAAAAUAUGUGAAUACAAUGUUCUUGGGUAAGUGCCUGCUUAGUAACGCAGGAGUGACUAAAUGUCUCUUUUCCAAAGAACACCAUGGCUUUUAGCACAGCCCUGACCUGGAUGAAGGAACCCCCCUCACCUGGUGGGUAAAGGAAGGGGAAAUUCGCCUGCCCCAUGUUCUGUGGGAGCACUGGAUGACUGUCAUGGGAGCAGUCAAACCAGAGAACAGGAAGGAUUUCAGUUUCGUCAGGGAGACAGUCAGCAGGCUCUUCAUAUAGUCACUUAUCCCAGAUUAUCUCAGAGACCUGGGAGUCAGGGUAACGUAAACUUUUUUUAGGGGAGUGGGACAGGGAUGACAGACUGUCUUUUCUCUGCACCCCUUAUGCUUUCUCUCACAAGUAUUUGACUAAACUCCAGGAAAGAAUACACUAGAAAUGUUUUUUCAUAUGAGCUCGUCAGUUCAUGCCCAUACUUGGAAAAAUCUUUCUUUUAACGUUAUUUGAAUAACUAAAAUGAAGUUAUUUGCCAGGCAGAUUAUACAUUCUUUCAGUUCUUUGUCUUUUGUUAUAUGUUGUGGUGCUUUUUACUAGAAAAUAGAAACCUUUUCAAGUCCGUGUCUGUGAUAGAUAAGGGGAGCCUUUCAGUUGCCUCUUCUAUUUAGUUAACAGUUACAAGUCCACUUUAUGACCAGUAAAAUACAAGUGUGCACAUAUCUGGGCUGAAAUCUGAACUUCUAAAUAGUCUAAAACUUGUAUAGUUUUCAAUUAACAGAGAAAAAUGCUUUUCAGAUGAUUUUUAUAGCCUUGUCUGAUCUUGCUUUAUCCCAUUACUGACAUAAAUUUUGGUCAUGCCAUCUUUCAGUUAGAUAGCCUACACAUUUCACAGAAUACUAAUCUGGAAGCUAAUAUUUUGAGAAAAGGUGCAGUUUGGGUAGAAUCUGUGCAUAUAUUUCAGUAUUUUUCCAGUGUUAUUACCCUCUCUAAGAAUAAAGAGAAAAGGUAAGCAAAAAGAAAAGAGACUGUUUCUGCCCCAGAGAAGACAAGGAUGUUCACAGUGUUAGCCUGGGACUUCGGAAAAUAAGAUUAAUUUUUAUUUUUAGUGGCAAACUUUGCCAUGAUAAAAAGCAAUGUAAUGUAAUUUUUAAAUACUUCAUUUUUGUGCUCCUUUUGUGGAACUGAUCUUCCAUGUGUCACAGGGCUCUUCUGAAGUUCAAUAUUUUUACUGUGUAAUCUCUUUUACAGUAUGAGGUGCCAGGUGAGUACCUAAGCCUUAGCUGUAAAGGUAAUCUUCCUCAUUUAGAUUGGCAUUUUGGCUCAUGAAUAUUCUUGGGCACCCAGAAGGAUCAAGUCUUCAAAUAUAUGAGAUCUGCUGAAAAAUGUGCAGUUAGUAUCUUCCCUGACUAGGACCUCUGAAUUUAAUCAGAACGCUAGAUAUACAAUAGAGGCUUUCAAAUUGUCUGCCUCCUACAGAAGCCCCUGCAGCCCUGUUACAGAAUCAUGGAAUUGUCUGGGUAGGAAAAGACCUUUAAGAUCAUUGAGUCGAGCUGUUAACCCAGCACUGCUCAGUCCAUCACCGAACCAUGUCCCCAGGUGCCACAUCUACACUCCAGGUGUCCACACCUGGUCCUUUAAAUAUCUCCAGGGGUGGUGACUCAGCCCUUUCCCGGACAGCCUGUUCCAGUGCUUGGCAACCCUGUUGGUUGUCCCACUCUAAGCCUCCCCAGGUGCAACCUAAGGCCAUUUGCUCUUCUCCUAUCCCUGUUACUUGGGAGCAGAGAUCCCUCUCUGUUCUCUUCAGUCUUAUACAAAGCACGUACUCCCAUGGAAAUUGUUUCUUGUCUGGCAUUUCCUUGUUUGCUUUUGGGACAGCUGCUUAUUAGCCACAGAUUUCUCAAGAGUGGCUUAUGUGCAAUGAAGUUGAGAGCUGUUUAUUUUCCUGCUGUCCUGUGUUGUAAGGAUGGGAGGAUCCAGCAAAAGCACACUCUCUUCAGUGUGCUGUGAGUAAUUCCUUGUGGGUUGACUUGAGGUGCAGGUCACGAAAUGCUUUCUGAUACAGCUUCUCUUAGUUGCAGGACUGGGUCACACCUGUAUCUCUGACACUGUGCAGAAUGGCCACAAGUGUCAUCCUGCCUGUGGAGGGGCAAUGAACCUGGAAUUCUGUCAGUGGAAGGCUGAUCAUGAGACAAACAGCCUGGCUUCCCAAGAGAACUGCCAGCAGUUGUGCUCACAGGGCAGCAAGGGUAGAUUGAAGCUGUGGGCGUGCUUAAUUUUUUGGAUAAAAUGCCAUGGGUGCCAAUCUCUGGUUCCUGGUAAUGAUCUGGAGCAGGUUGGAAAGAUAUCUGCAUGCUCAGCACGAUGGUAUCUCUGAAAUCAGGGAUUGUGCUACUUGAUCUCCACUGGAAUACCUGUGGCUUCAAGAGAUGCUGCAAUGGUGCUUCUGCAUGGAGAGCACUGGCCUUGUGUCUGCCAAGAAAGUUCUACUCACAUGCAGCUGUCUGUGCUCAUACUCCUUCAGUUGUCAUUGAAGUGUGAAAGCUUUAUGAUCCCUGCCAGAUGUAAUGCAGAUAAAAUGCAUCUCACUUGGAGGAAGGAGCCCAUGGGGCUGCUCAUGAUCCUGCAGCACAGCCUGAAGGGAGGUGCAGGAACAAACUGCACUGGCACCUGGGGGGGGGUUGUUCCACCCAGGGACCUCAGGCAGGCUAAGGACUGAGCCAGGUCCUUGCUUCUUGUGAAUUGGGGUGUUUUGUUAUGGUACCUUCCCUCUCAGGUUAACAGGCAGUGUGAAUCCAACAGUUGUACCUUAUAAAAGAAAUACCCUUGGGAGUGGAAAUGGCUGUUCUAAAGGUUGUGGUACUUGGAACUGAAAGAAAAACAUCUAAUCUCUUUUACCAUAGGUAUGGUAUGUCUCUUUUACCAGUGCUAUGUGUUUAGUAAGCACAGAAAGAAACUUUUCUGGUUGUAAUGAACAGAAACUUCUGCUCCAGAACAAAACCAGGCUUGUUAAACAGCAAAAAAAUGUCAGAUUUUAAGUUUUUGAAUGAUUUGUGUGGUGUUUUCUUACUAUAGACAUUUGUUGUUAACAAAGCGUGUUUACCUCUGUCCAGUGUAAUACCUGACCUUUCACACUCUGAUUUUACUGUAUCACACUUUGAAGGUUGUUCCCAUCAAUACUUUUAUGGCCUUUUUUAAAAAUUCAGUUUAAUUUGUUACAGGUUUUUUUGUGCUCUCAUUUUUUCAGUAAUUCCAUACUCCUGUUGACCUGGUGGUGGUUGUACCUAAAAUGCUGUUAUUUGUCUUAAAGUUCACUAAGAUUCCAGCACUAAACUAUGAUGCGGCCAUUAUGUCAGUCAUGGAAUUUUCCUGUUUGCCAUAUUUUAUUCUUUCCUAGGCUGUAGUGCAGCACGUUGGUGGUAAGGACUCAAGGGAACUUAAGCCUUUUCCUGUAGGUCCAUCCUUGUGUUAACAACUGAAAAAUUCUGAAGUAAAUAACCACAGUCCUUUCUGCAUAUCAGAAUUAAUUUUGUGGAAAUGUUUUUUAAGUGUAACUGACGGGUUACAGUUUUGUUCCUACAUGUGUAUGAGUCAAACACAAGCAAGGUCAAAAUGAAAUCUUACAACCAACCACUUUUUAAAUCUCACAGUAAUCCACAAGUAUAGUGUCAAAAUGAUAUUCAGUGUUCUUGAGCACUGAUUAACUUAUAUAACCAGCUGAUGAAAUACUGCCCGUGAUACCCUUUUCAUUCCUCUUGGUACUAAUUUGGAAUUUGAAAUGUUAUUUGAGUGAUUAAGCAGAUGAAAAUCCUGGAAAAAUUUUUAGCUGUUGAAGUUUUAAAGCAAUUCUUGGAAAUCAGACAGUGCCUCUCUCCUCUUGUGAUGUCCAGUUUUAGUAAAGUUCAACUCCCUACGUGAGUAACAGUCCUGUUUGCAUUUCUUUGGAUGAACUGGAAUACUCUACCUAUUUCUUUAUUUUGAGAGCUUUUAAAAAAUCUUUAUUCCAUACUAGCAGUUUAAAUAACAUUUAAAUAACAUUGACUAAGUCCAUUAGCUGGCUGGUGGCAUUCCUGAAAUAGCAUUGACAAUCUGUUUUCAAUGGACUUCCAGCUACAGAAAUGCUCUGAUGAAGUAACCAACAUGAUACAUUCACUUUCCCAGGGAUUUCAGGGGAGGAAGCAAGGGAGCUAGGAAUGCAAAUACUCCUGAAAUUAUUUGAGGAUUAAUAUUAUUAUGAAUUUUUUAGUUCUCAGGAAUCAAGUGACCCUUACAGUAAAACUGUGUUAUUGAGUGCAGGAAUGAAACAAAGAUUCAGUACAACCAUGGGUUUGCUUCCAGAAAUGCCCAGUAUUGCAUAUCAUUUUCUUGUCCUUUGUAUCUGCCAUUUUCAGAGUUAAAUGUGUGCUUCUACUUAUGAUGGCAACCCCAUAGCAACACCAUCUGUUUAUUCAAAUUGAUGUUUCCUUAAAAGUGAAACGUGGUAGUUAAAUAUAGCUUGACAAUUACCUGACAUUUUCAGAGCUUAAGUUGUUUUUCAUUGCAGGAUAGUAAAAAAGCAAAAUUGGAAUUAAUUUGGUUGUCAGACACUGACUGUGUUGUAAAUAAUAUUUUGCAAAACCAAAUACCCCAAUUUUCUGUGAAGAAAUGCUGCUCUUAUCCCUCAGGUUCAGUGAUCUACACUGUCCAAGUUGAGUUCCAGUCUCUACCAAAACAAAUGACAAGAUAAACCUGUGAACUAUUAAUGAAAAAAACACCUUAAAUAAAUGACAGAGCAGCCUUAAUGAUGGCCACAAGUAAGUGCAGUCAUUCUGUUUGAGCAGGAAAGUAAAAACCCACAACACCAAGAACUUCAGCCUUAGACUCGAAUGCCUAUUUUGGUUUUGUUUAAUGCACAACUUAAAAUGGGAAUGUGACUAUUCUUUUAAUUUCUACAGACUUCAGCAUUCUAGGGAAGGAAGCAAGAGGAAAGAGAAAACAGGAUAAUUCCUUCUUAAACCCUACUGCUCUGUGGCAAGCAGAGUGGCAUCACUGAGAGUUCUCCCUGUCUCUUUUUGUUUAAGCUCCAGAGCUACCAAGAAUUGUUCAAGCUGAUCCCAACAGCACAGACACUGCCAGUGACAGCCAGGGGGGGCUUUCUACGUGUUCUACUUAGUCUGAGGUGUGUGAGAGCUGCAGUGAUCCUGUAAAACUUCAUUUCAUCAACGUGAAAGGAAAGGAGAUUAAAAUGGAGUAAGAGGCAUGAGUCAUCACACUGCCAUGCACCACUGGGCUUAGCAGUCAGCAUCCGUGGGGUUUGGGGAGGAAAACCUGGGGUAUUUUUGGCUGUUGCUGUCAAUAGCUGUCAGAAGAGUUGGACUGAGCAAAAUGAGAUUAAAAGGAAGACUAUAAUACAGAAGGGAAGUUUAAAAAAAGCAACAGAUCAGCUUAAUUAAUUGCAGCCUACUUAUAUACUCAUUAACUGCUAUUAUGAGUCAAUCUUUCUGUGCCUCAGAUUUCCAUUGUGAAGGUAGAAGAUACAGAGCAAAGCAACUGUUCUCCAGCCACUCACCAGCAAUGUUUUACAUUUUGUACCUCUUUUUUUAUAGCUCUCAUUUAAAUAGUGUAGUACAAUUUUAAGAAAAAAGUUUUUAUGGGAGAAAUAUGACUGCUGUUUAUACAAGGAGAUUCAGAGCAAUAGUUGGGAUUCAUGCAGUCAUAAGGAGAUGGACUGUCUGACAGUGCUUUUAAACAGCAACUAUCCAGUUAUUAACAACAUUAUUAGAAAAUAUUGGAACUAGAAUUGUGUGUGCGCAUGUGUGUGGGAAAUGGGACUGGAAAAUAAAAAUCUAUAAACCUUAA